rnacentral:rRNA from 1 species
AACGAACGCUGGCGGCAGGCCUAACACAUGCAAGUCGAACGCUCUAGCAAUAGAGAGUGGCAGACGGGUGAGUAACGCGUGGGAAACUUCCUAGGGGUACGGAAUAGCUCAGGGAAACUUGGGGUAAUACCGUAUGAUGCCGUAAGGCCAAAGAUUUAUCGCCCUUAGGUGUGCCCGCGUCGGAUUAGCUAGUUGGUGAGGUAACGGCUCGCCAAGGCGACGAUCCGUAGCUGGUUUGAGAGAAUGACCAGCCACACUGGGACUGAGACACGGCCCAGACUCCUACGGGAGGCAGCAGUGGGGAAUCUUGGACAAUGGGCGCAAGCCUGAUCCAGCCAUGCCGCGUGAGUGACGAAGGCCUUAGGGUUGUAAAGCUCUUUUGCCGGGGACGAUAAUGACGGUACCCGGAGAAUAAGUCCCGGCUAACUUCGUGCCAGCCGCCGCCGUAA